rnacentral:rRNA from 1 species
UACGUAGGGUGCGAGCGUUUGUCCGGAAUUAUUGGGCGUAAAGAGCUCGUAGGCGGCCUGUUGCGUCCGCUGUGAAAUCCCGGGGCUCAACCCCGGGCGUGCAGUGGAUACGGGCUGGCUGGAGGCAGGCAGGGGAGAACGGAAUUCCUGGUGUAGCGGUGAAAUGCGCAGAUAUCAGGAGGAACACCGGUGGCGAAGGCGGGUCUCUGGGCAAUAACUGACGCUGGAGGAGCGAAAGCGUGGGAGCGAACAGG